rnacentral:rRNA from 1 species
AUUGAACGCUGGCGGCAUGCCUUACACAUGCAAGUCGAACGGCAGCACGGGAGCAAUCCUGGUGGCGAGUGGCGAACGGGUGAGUAAUAUAUCGGAACGUGCCCAGUCGUGGGGGAUAACGCAGCGAAAGACUGUGCUAAUACCGCAUACGAUCUCUGGAUGAAAGCGGGGGACGUCGCAAGGGCCGUCGCGCGAUUGGAGCGGCCGAUAUCAGAUUAGCUAGUUGGCGGGGUAAAGGCCCACCAAGGCGACGAUCUGUAGCUGGUCUGAGAGGACGACCAGCCACACUGGAACUGAGACACGGUCCAGACUCCUACGGGAGGCAGCAGUGGGGAAUAUUGGACAAUGGGCGCAAGCCUGAUCCAGCCAUGCCGCGUGAGUGAUGAAGGCCCUAGGGUUGUAAA